rnacentral:rRNA from 1 species
AAUGAACGUUGGCGGCGUGGAUUAGGCAUGCAAGGCGAGCGAGAACCGUAGCAAUACGGGGACAGCGGCGAAAGGGAGAGUAAUACGUGGAUACCUACCCUCGGGUUCGGGAUAGCUGCGGGACACUGCAGGUAAUACCGAAUAACAUCUCCGGAUCAAAGGUGUGAUUCCGCCCGGGGAGGGGUCCGCGCCCUCUUAGCUUGUUGGUGAGGUAACGGCUCACCAAGGCGAAGAUGGGUACGGGGGGUGAGAGCAUGCCCCGGCUCACUGGGACUGAGACACUUCCCAGUCCCCUACGGGUGGCUGCAGUCGAGAAUCUUCGGCAAUGGGCGCAAGCCUGACCGGGCGACGCCGCGUGCGAGAUGAAGGCCUUCGGGUUGUAAAUCGCUGUCAGUGGGGAGGAAAUGCCAUAGGGUUCUCUCUAUGGUUUGACCUAUCCGCAGAGGAAGGAUGGGCUAAGUUCGUGCCAGCAGCCGCAGUAA